UACGUAGGGCGCAAGCGUUGUCCGGAAUUAUUGGGCGUAAAGAGCUCGUAGGCGGCUUGUCACGUCGGCUGUGAAAACCCGGGGCUCAACCCCGGGCCUGCAGUCGAUACGGGCAGGCUAGAGUUCGGUAGGGGAGACUGGAAUUCCCGGUGUAGCGGUGAAAUGCGCAGAUAUCGGGAGGAACACCGGUGGCGAAGGCGGGUCUCUGGGCCGAAACUGACGCUGAGGAGCGAAAGCGUGGGGAGCGAACAGG
rnacentral:rRNA from 1 species